rnacentral:tRNA from 2 species
CGCGGGGUGGAGGAGCCUGGUAGCUCGUCGGGCUCAUAACCCGAAGGUCGUCGGUUCAAAUCCGGCCCCCGCAACCA